rnacentral:rRNA from 1 species
CAAUAGCGUAUAUUAAAGUUGUUGCGGUUAAAAAGCUCGUAGUUGGAGUUCUGCCAGGUGACGCUCGUCCGCCCAAGUGGUGUGUACAGGGCGUGCAUCUGGCCCUUUCAAGGGGAACGUGUCUGCUCUUUAUUGAGUGGUGCGAGAUCCUUGACUUUUACUUUGAGGAAAUUAGAGUGUUCACGGCAGGCAAGCGCCUUGAAUAUAUUAGCAUGGAAUAAUAAUAUAGGACUUUGGUUCUAUUUUGUUGGUUUCUAGAACUAAAGUAAUGAUUAAUAGGGAUAAUUGGGGGCAUUUGUAUUAACGCGUCAGAGGUGGAAUUCUUGGAUUGCGUUACGACAAACUACUGCGAAAGCAUUUGCCAAGGAUGUUUUCAUUGAUCAAGAACGAAAGUAUGGGGAUCGAAGACGAUUAGAUACCAU